rnacentral:lncRNA from 1 species
GUUCUCAGCACCCAUGGGUGCUCGGUGGUGGUCCCAUGGUUGGUGUCAUCUUGUUCUUGGCACCCAUGGGUGCUCUGGGGUGGGUUUCUGGUGGUGUCGUGUCCUCCUCAGCACCCAUGGGUGCUCGGCGGGGGCCUCAAGGGUGGUGUUGUGUCCUGCUCGGCACCCAUGGGUGCUCGUGGUGGUCCCAUGGGUGGUGUCAUCUUGUUCUUGGCACCCAUGGGUGCUUGGUGGUGGCCUUCUGGGUGGUUUUGAUGUCCUCAGCACCCAUGGGUGCUCAGCGGUGCCUGGAGGCAUUGGCCUGAGGGCUUUGUGGCCAAUGGGUGCUGCUGGUGACCCAUGGGUGCCCCCAUGACCCAUGGGUGCUCUUGGUGGUCAAUGGGUGCUCCCCAUGACCCAUGGGUGCUGCUGGUGGUCCCAUGGGUGCCCCCCCUGCCCAAGGCCUGACCCCGCUGCCUGUGGGCAUCUCCAGGACUUGCGCACCCGAAACACCUCGGGGUGCCCCGCAGCACCUUGGGGUGCCCCAAUAACACCCCCAAGGCGCCCCAUAGCACCCUUGGGUGCCCCAUAGCACCUUUGGGUGCCCUAUAACCACCUCAGGGCGCCCCCUACCACCCCUUAGACCACCCCCUACCACCUUGGGGCACCCCAUAACACCCUCAAGGCACCCUGUAGCACCUUUGGGUGCCCCAUAACACCCCUUAGACCACCCCCUACCACCUCAAGGUGCCCCAGAGCACCCUCAAGACACCCCA